AACGAACGUUAGCGGCGCGCCUAACACAUGCAAGUCGAACGCGACAGGGGCAACUCUGUUGAGUGGCGCACGGGUGAGUAACACGUAGGUAAUCUUCCCUCGAGUGGUGGAUAACCCUCCGAAAGGAGAGCUAAUACAGCAUGAGACCACGGCUUCGAAAGGAGCUGAGGUCAAAGCGGAGGAUCGCAAGACUUCGCGCUUGAGGAUGAGCCUGCGGCCCANCAGGUAGUUGGCGGGGUAAUGGCCCACCAAGCCUAAGACGGGUAGCUGGUCUGAGAGGAUGAUCAGCCACACUGGAACUGAGACACGGUCCAGACUCCUACGGGAGGCAGCAGUGGGGAAUCUUGCGCAAUGGACGAAAGUCUGACGCAGCGACGCCGCGUGGGUGAUGAAGGCCUUCGGUUGUAA
rnacentral:rRNA from 1 species